AUUGAACGCUGGCGGCGUGCCUAACACAUGCAAGUCGAGCGGUAACAGGUGUAGCAAUACAUGCUGACGAGCGGCGGACGGGUGAGUAACGCUUGGGAAUCUGCCUAUUAGUGGGGGGACAACCCGGGGAAACUCGGGCUAAUACCGCAUACGCUCUACGGAGGAAAGCCGGGGACCGCAAGGCCUGGCGCUAAUAGAUGAGCCCAAGUCGGAUUAGCUAGUUGGUAGGGUAAUGGCCUACCAAGGCGACGAUCCGUAACUGGUCUGAGAGGACGACCAGUCACACCGGAACUGAGACACGGUCCGGACUCCUACGGGAGGCAGCAGUGGGGAAUAUUGGACAAUGGGGGCAACCCUGAUCCAGCCAUGCCGCGUGC
rnacentral:rRNA from 1 species